rnacentral:lncRNA from 13 species
AUGCAACGAAGGUUGCACUGUGGUAGUGGGGAACAGGAAGUUCCCGGCACGCGGGCACCAUUCUUCAGAAUAAAGAAAGCGCCAGAACAGUGCAGUCAAGAAGAUAACCGUUGUAUGUGUCCGUUUCAAUUUACUACUACAGCUGGUAAAAUGGCGGCGCCCCCCUCGGUCUGUUUCUGGAGUGUGAACUACCGGUAAUACAAUUGUAUUUUGAUUGAAAUAAUACAAUGAAGCCGCGGUUGUUCAGGAAAAUAGUAACAGUGCUGCCUAAAACAAACAGUGACCUUAUAAUGUACUACAUGGUUUUGGAGUAAUUUUAUGUGAAUUUAUGAAAUCUACUAUAAAGUGCUCUUACGUUGUGUGUCUAAUGUGAAUGAAUUAAUGUUUUCAAAUAACAUUUUAUUUGUCACAUGAGCCGAAUACAACAGGUGUAGACCUUAAAGUGAAAUGCUUACUUACAAGCCCUUAACCAACAAUGCAUUUUUAAGAAAAUACCUUAGAAAAAGUAAGAGAAGAGAAGAAGAAUUAAAGAGCAGCAUUAAAUAACAAUAGCAGAGCAAUAUACAGGGGGUACAGUCAAUGUGCGGGGGGCACCGGUGUCGAGGUAAUUAUGUACAUGUAGGUAGAGUUAUUAAAGUGGCUAUGCAUAGAUAAGAGAGUAGCAGCAGCGUGGGUGGGUGGGUGCAAAUGCAAAUAGUCUGGGUAGCCAUUUGAUUAGCUGUUCAGGAGUCUUAUGGCUUGGGGGUAGAAGCUGUUUAAGAAGCCUCUUGGUCCUAGACUUGGUGCUCUGGUACCGCUUGCUGUCCGGUAGCAGAGAGAACAGUCUAUGACUAGGGUGGCUGGAGUCUU